GAUGAACGCUAGCUACAGGCUUAGCACAUGCAAGUCGAGGGGUCUUUCUGGAGCUUGCUUUAGAAAGACGACCGGCGCACGGGUGAGUAACGCGUAUCCAACCUGCCCUUCAUAUUGGGAUAGCCUUCCGAAAGGGAGAUUAAUACCGAAUAACAUGAGAGAGUUGCCUGAUUUUCUCAUGAAAGCUCCGGCGAUGAAGGAUGGGGAUGCGUUCCAUUAGGUAGUAGGCGGGGUAACGGCCCACCUAGCCGACGAUCUUUAGGGGUUCUGAGAGGAAGGUCCCCCACACUGGUACUGAGACACGGACCAGACUCCUACGGGAGGCAGCAGUGAGGAAUAUUGGUCAAUGGGCGGGAGCCUGAACCAGCCAAGUAGCGUGAAGGAUGACUGCCCUACGGGUUGUAAAACUUCUUUUUGUUUGGGAAUAAAAAGACGCUACGUGUAGCGUUCUGC
rnacentral:rRNA from 1 species